rnacentral:lncRNA from 1 species
CCCGUUUACAUUCUUCCUCUGGCGGAGGCGGGAGGGUCGCUUGAAGCCUCGGAUUUCGAGAUCAGCCAGGACAAAAAAGCGAGACCCCCGUUUCUACCAAAAAGGGGGGGGGGUGGGCGGGGGGAAGAGAGAGAGAGAGAGAAAGGAAAAGAAAGAGAAAGAAAAGAAAGAAAAACUAGGCGCGGUCACGUGUACGUGUAGUUCCAGCUGCUCGGAGGUUGAGGCGGGAGGAUCUCUUGAGCCCAGAAGUUCGAGGCCGCAAUGAGCUCUGAUCGUGGCAGAGCGAGGCCCUGGCUCAAAUACAUACAUACUUUGUUCUGACUUUGUGUGCCCUUACUCUUUCCUCAGGUGCACGCUUGGGCUCGUUACUGCUCAGAAUUUUAGAAUCACAGAUCCAGCAGUGAUCAGGCAGCUGCAGCUGUCAGGGACCACCACCACCUACGCGAUUGAUCCGUGGGAGAAGCCGUCCUACUCUUUUCUUUCUCCUUUGUCCUUCUCAUUCCUGACCCCUUCAGGAUUCUCAGUCUUCCCUCCGGGAGACUUUUGGCCAGUCUUGUCUCGCUCCAACCUCCUACCCCCACCCCAUUCCUCAGUGCAUUCGUGAAUUUCUCCAAGCAGGCCUUUCCAGAUCGACACUAAGUUCCAAUCCCGAGCUGUGUGACCCAGCACCAAUUCAGUCACGAUGAUGACUUGCAAUUGCUUAAUCAGUUGGCCUUUCCUCCUAGCUGUGAAGUUUACCGUGCAGGAUUGCAAACACCAGAGAGAAAAUCAGUCUCUGGAAUGAUGCCUUUGAUGGACCAAGAUGCAGCUGAUGAAGCAUUGAACCAAUUAGCACCUAGCAGGAGGGCACCCUUGCUCUGUGUCCUUGAAGGUUAAAGCUGUCAAAAAGUGGUCUCCCUCAAGUUCGGCCAUCUUGCUCUCAGAGAUCUAGAACUGGUAGGAGAAUAUAGCCUUGAUAGUGGAGAGGAAACUAUUGCUGUUGUGAGGGACUGAGAGAACCAGGCAGAGAGCCCAGAUUGACACAGCAGGUGACAAAAGAGGCGCGCCUACCUUGGGGAAUACGGAGGAACAGAGGAAAGUGAGACCAGGAGAAAGAGCAGGGGGGCGGGUGUGCAGGCCGGGCGCCGUGGCUCACGCCUGUAAUCCCAGCACUUUGGGAGGCCAAGGCAGGCGGAUCACAAGGUCAGGAGUUCGAGACCAGCCUGGCCAAUAUGGUGAAACCCUGUCUCUACUAAAAAUACAAAAAUUAGCUGGGCGUGGUGGCGAAUGCCUGUAGUCCCAGCUACUCGGAAGGCUGAGGCAGGAGAAUCGCUUGAACCCGGAACCCGGGAGGCAGAGGUUGCAGUGAGCCGAGAUGGCGCCAUUGCACUCUAGCCUGGGCGACGGACUGAGACUUCGUCUCAAAAAAGGGAGUGACUGUGUUGCUUUUGCUUUCUUGGAAAUCUUUUUUCUUAGUAAUUUUCCUAAAGUAAUUUCCUUAGGAAAUAAUGUAUUGCUAAGAGUAUUGCAACUUUUAGUAUUGACGAGGUACUUUUACUGAAUCAGUAUAAGUCAACAAGCAACCACCAGAAGCUGGAAAAGGCCAGGAUAGGAUUUUACUCUAAAGUUUCUAGAGGGAGCUGGACGCAGCCCACACCUUGAUUUUGGCCCACAUACUGAUUGUGGAUUUCUGGCCUUCAGAAAUACAUAUCUGUUGUAAGAGAAUACAUAUCUGUUGUUUUUAGACAGUUUCUGAUAAUUUGUUACAGUAACCACAGGAAAUUAACACCAGGCACUAUGCAGUAAAUUCCGUAUGAACAACUCAAAUAUAAGAAUUUGUAAGACAGCCGGGCGCGGUGGCUCACGCCUGUAAUCCCAGCACUUUGGGAGGCGCGGUGGCUCACGCCUGUAAUCCCAGCACUUUGGGAGGCGCGGUGGCUCACGCCUGUAAUCCCAGCACUUUGGGAGGCCGAGGCGGGCGGAUCACCUGAGGUCGGGAGUUCCAGACCAGCCUGACCAACAUGGAGAAACCCCCAUCUCUACUAAAAAUACAAAAUUAGCCGGGCUUGGUAGCGCAUGCCUGUGAUCCCAGCUACUCGGGAGGCUGAGGCGGGAGAAUUGCUUGAACCUGGGAGGCGGAGGUUGCGGUGAGUCGAGAUCGCGAUAUUGGACUCUAGCCAACUCCAUCUCCAAAAAAAAAAAAAAAAAAGAAUUCUAAGACAGCAUAGUUUCCACUGGCAUAUUGGAUAAAAACUUCCGUCAGCAGUGAUUUUAAUGAAGAUGAAUGACAAAACAAUAAGAAACUCCAGCGCUAGUUAACUUUCUUUAUUAUGAUCUUAUUUGUCAUAAUUUUUUGCACAAUGCGUUUUUAUUUUAGGACUCAGUCAAAAUUUUGGGCCAAGGAGACCGACGCGCUGUCGCCUGCACUAAGAGAAACGCAACGAACAACUUUGUCAAUGCAUUGCAUUAUACUAUAGCAGCAACUAUACUUUUAAAUGAUUCGAAUCUUGAGGUUUCAAACUGAACCGUCUUGUGCCUUUUGCCCGGCGGGCAUUUCUGCGGGGACCGCGGGUCACCUUCUGAAUUUUUACCUUCAUAAACAGCAAGGACUGC